ACUUGCACAAGUCACAAAGCUAGUUCAUGACAGAGCUAGAAUUGGAAUCUUGGCCAGGUAAUUCCAGAUCUUUCACUCUUAACCAUUCUAUAGAAUCAGCACCCAUCUUUGAGUCAGAGUUUGAGAUGCAAAUCCUUUACUGCAUAGCCUUGGUCAAAUGACUUCACCUCAUUGAAUUAAUUUUCUUCUGCAUAAAAUGGGGUCACCAUCUGCUUAUCUAAAUUGUUACAAAUGGGACAGUAUAUGUGCCAUUCCAUAUACCUAAUCACAGCUCAAUCGAUGCUGGUGUCUUUUUCCUUUUUCCUUCUGCAGAAAACAUGCUUUACAUAGGAUCUCUGAACUUAAAGAAUAGGAAGAAGAAAAAUCAUGUUUCCAGCUUGGGCUGCUGUUUCAUCUGUUGGACUUGCUUAAAAUGUAUGGGUUUGUUUACCCUUCCUGCAGGCAUCCAACCUGGCCUUUUAUUCCUGCUCAAGUAGGACAUGCAGCCUGCUGGGGACCCGUGGCUCUAAUCCUCCAUCUGCAGGACUGCCGGCCCUGGGACUCAUGAAUAAUGGAAGUGCAGUACCCACUCCUUACAGCCCAGACGACUUUCCAGGAGCAGGCUGUACCCUGAAAGUAACCAAGGAACAAGGGACAAGGAGACAGAGAGAGAUGGGGAAAUGAUCCCUGAAUGGAAAGGAAUGCUACGCACACUUUUUGGAUACAGAAAGUGAGAUUCAGAGAGGUUAAACAACUUUCCUAAAGCCACACAGCGAGAGAGUCGAUCUGAACUGAAGAUUGUUUGACAUCAAAGCUCAUUUCUUUCCCUAAAUGUCAGCAUUCUUUCCUGACUUAUUAAUUUGAUUUCUGCCCUCCCCUCAUGGAAGUUAAUUAAAGGAAUGCGAGAAACUUUUAGAA
rnacentral:lncRNA from 1 species